rnacentral:rRNA from 1 species
GGAUUAGAUACCCUGGUAGUCCACGCCGUAAACUAUGGAUACUUGGUGUUGGAGGUAUUGACCCCUUCAGUGCCGGAGCUAACGCGUUAAGUAUCCCGCCUGGGAAGUACGGUCGCAAGAUUAAAACUCAAAGAAAUUGACGGGGGCCCGCACAAGCGGUGGAGCAUGUGGUUUAAUUCGAUGCAACGCGAAGAACCUUACCUGGAUUUGACAUGUACUGGAAGACUACCAGAGAUGGUGUCGCCUUCGGGCCGGUACACAGGUGCUGCAUGGCUGUCGUCAGCUCGUGUCG